GUGGGGAAUUUUGGACAAUGGGCGCAAGCCUGAUCCAGCCAUGCCGCGUGCAGGAAGAAGGCCUUCGGGUUGUAAACUGCUUUUGUACGGAACGAAACGGUCCGGGUUAAUACCCUGGGCUAAUGACGGUACCGUAAGAAUAAGCACCGGCUAACUACGUGCCAGCAGCCGCGGUAAUACGUAGGGUGCAAGCGUUAAUCGGAAUUACUGGGCGUAAAGCGUGCGCAGGCGGUUUUUUAAGACAGGCGUGAAAUCCCCGGGCUCAACCUGGGAACUGCAUUUGUGACUGUAGAGCUAGAGUACGGUAGAGGGGGAUGGAAUUCCGCGUGUAGCAGUGAAAUGCGUAGAUAUGCGGAGGAACACCGAUGGCGAAGGCAAUCCCCUGGACCUGUACUGACGCUCAUGCACGAAAGCGUGGGGAGCAAACAGGAUUAGAAACCCCGGUAGUCC
rnacentral:rRNA from 1 species